rnacentral:ncRNA from 1 species
CUCUUAUCCAGAGAGGUGGAGGGACUGGCCCUAUGAAACCCGGCAACCGGCUUUAUCAUAAAGCAUCGGUGCCAAUUCCUGCGGUACGAUUGUACCGACAGAUGAGAG